UACGGAGGUGGCUAGCGUUAUUCGGAAUUACUGGGCGUAAAGCGCACGUAGGCGGAUAAGAAAGUCAGAGGUGAAAUCCCAGGGCUCAACCUUGGAACUGCCUUUGAAACUCCUUGUCUUGAGGUCGUGAGAGGUGAGUGGAAUUCCGAGUGUAGAGGUGAAAUUCGUAGAUAUUCGGAGGAACACAAGUGGCGAAGGCGGCUCACUGGCACGAUACUGACGCUGAGGUGCGAAAGCGUGGGGAGCAAACAGG
rnacentral:rRNA from 1 species